rnacentral:rRNA from 1 species
CAGUCGCCGCGGGAAUACGUAGGAUGCGAGCGUUGUCCGGAUUUAUUGGGCGUAAAGAGUUCGUAGGUGGUUUGUCAAGUCUGAUGUUAAAGAUCGGGGCUCAACCCUGGGACUGCAUUGGAUACUGGCAGACUUGAGUGUGGUAGAGGCUAGUGGAAUUCCCAGUGUAGCGGUGAAAUGCGUAGAUAUUGGGAAGAACACCGGUGGCGUAGGCGACUAGCUGGGCCAUAACUGACACUGAGGAACGAAAGCCAGGGUAGCGGAUGGGAUUAGAUACCCCCGUAGUCCCUGUCUCUUAUAC